CUGGGCGGGUGGCCGUUAAGACUUGCAGUGAUGUUUAACUCCUCUGCAUGUGAACAUCACAGCAAGUCUGUGCUGCCUCCCGUCCCUAC
rnacentral:pre_miRNA from 15 species